UACGGAGGGUGCGAGCGUUUAAUCGGAAUUACUGGGCGUAAAGGGUGCGUAGGUGGUUGUAUAAGUUAUCUGUGAAAUCCCUGGGCUUAACCUAGGAAGGUCAGAUAAGACUGUACAACUCGAGUAUGGGAGAGGGUAGUGGAAUUUUCCGGUGUAGCGGUGAAAUGCGUAGAGAUCGGAAGGAACACCAGUGGCGAAGGCGGCUUACUGGGUCUCGUUCGUACCGCUGAGGUACGAAAGCUAGGGGUAGCGAACGGGG
rnacentral:rRNA from 1 species